rnacentral:misc_RNA from 1 species
CAGCUGUUUAAAUUGCAAUUUUAACCAAACACAUGACAAAUAGCUUUUUCUAAUAACAGCAACUUUCUAUUAUAUAGGUAAACUACUUUUUUUAAAACAACAUUUUUUUAUCUGCAGUUUUAGAACAGCAACAGCAGAAUUCAGUAAUGCCAAACAGACCCUAUAUUAUAUAUGGGAAUUCAGUUCAAAAUCAAACUAGAGAGGGUUGUUCAAAAUCAGUAAAUUUGGGGUUGAAAUUGAAAAUUUUUAACAUUGCCCUUUUUUUACAGUUAAAUAAAAAUAGCAAUGGUGAAACAAGCUACUAAACAUUCAAAAUCAAGUUUGAGGACAACAACUACCUGAAAUGAGAACAUAUAAAGUUGGUUAGGAAAAGUUUGAAAGUUCAAGAACAAAAACUAUAUAUUAAAUAAUAAUAAUUACACAGUAUGAUAGUUUUUUAUGGCUUUUGGCCUACUAACACUAUUUCAGAAAGAAUAUUCGGGACUAACAGGUGAAAGAAGCUCUUACAGCCACUGUAGCAUUAUACCCAUUACAGGCCAUUACUCCUUUGAUGUUAUGACUACAACACUAACUGCCCCCAUCUUUUGGAAGCUAAUUAUUUAGAAAAAGAAAAAUUCACAGAACCACUAGCCAUGACCACAAUUUAAGACCUUGGACUAGGUAGAAUUUGAUCAGAAAAAUACAUCAGCAAAGUAUGCAUUUGUCAUUAAACACACAACUUUCAGGUUGGCUGCAAAUAUGUCUCUAGAUGUUAACAAACCUGAGUUCCACGUCGAAGUAGCUCCCUUGCAAAGGGCAAAAUACCCAAAAUUAUAUCUGCACCAGAAUUAUCAACAAAGAUGACAGCCUUUUUCCAAGAUUUCUUGCUCCAUUUCACUUUGAAGGUGUCUAAAUCAUCAAUAACCCAAGGUCGAGAGACAAGAUUUUGACAACUAGCCAAAAAGGACAUUCCAUCCCUUGAGAAAACCUCAGCAAG